GACAACUAAUGAUGCUCCGGCUCAUCCAACAAGGAAAAUUCGAGUUCCGCAACGAACAAUGGGCGAAUAUCACUGCAGAAGCCAAAAAUCUAAUCACCCAGUUGCUCCAAGUUGAUGCAACAAAGAGAAUUAGCUCAAAAGAGUGUUUAGCACAUGAAUGGAUGAUUCCAAUUGCACAACAACAGGCUCCACAGAUGGUUCCUGUCGUUGAAGUGGAGCUUGUCAAGGAUCAAACAUCGGAGAGAGCUAGGAAACGGUUCAAAACG
rnacentral:sRNA from 1 species